GAUGAACGCUGGCGGCGUGCCUAAUACAUGCAAGUCGAGCGGUAAGGCUCCUUCGGGAGUACACGAGCGGCGGACGGGUGAGUAAUGCAUAGGAACAUACCCCAAACUGAGGGAUAAGCACCGGAAACGGUGUCUAAUACCGCAUAUGGCCUUCGGGUUAAAGCUUCGGCGGUUUGGGAAUGGCCUAUGUUCGAUUAGCUAGUUGGUAAGGUAAAAGCUUACCAAGGCGACGAUCGAUAGCUGGUUUGAGAGGAUGAUCAGCCACACUGGAACUGAGACACGGUCCAGACUCCUACGGGAGGCAGCAGUAGGGAAUUUUCCACAAUGGACGAAAGUCUGAUGGAGCAACGCCGCGUGCAGGAUGAAGGCUUUAGGGUCGUAAACUGCUUUUAUAAGUGAAGAAUAUGACGGUAACUUAUGAAUAAGGGACUGCUAACUACGUGCCAGCAGCCGCGGUCAUACGUGGGUCCCAAGCGUUAUCCGGAUUUACUGGGUGUAAAGAGUUGCGUAGGCGGUACAUUAAGCAAAGCAUUAAAUCAUGUGGCUCAACCAUAUAGAUGUGCUUUGAACUGAUGAACUAGAGUAUAAGAGAGGUCACUGGAAUUUCUUGUGUAGGAGUGAAAUCCGUAGAUAUAAGAAGGAACACCGAUGGCGUAGGCAGGUGACUGGCUUAUUACUGACGCUAAGGCACGAAAGCGUGGGGAGCGAACGGGAUUAGAUACCCCGGUAGUCCACGCCGUAAACGAUGGAUGCUAGCUGUUCGAGGUAUCGACCCCUUGAGUAGCGAAGCUAACGCGAUAAGCAUCCCACCUGUGGAGUACGAGCGCAAGCUUAAAACAUAAAGGAAUUGACGGGGACCCGCACAAGCGGUGGAGCGUGUUGUUUAAUUCGAUGAUAAGCGAAGAACCUUACCAAGGUUUGACAUAUUGACUAAUCACUUCGAAAGAAGAGAGUGCCUUCGGGCCGUCAUUACAGGUGCUGCAUGGCCGUCGUCAGCUCGUGUCGUGAGAUGUUGGGUUAAGUCCCGCAACGAGCGCAACCCCUAUGUUUAGUUGUAUUUUUCUAGACAGACUGCCCUGGCAACAGGGAGGAAGGAGGGGAUGAUGUCAGGUCAGUAUUGCCCUUACACCUUGGGCUACAAACACGCUACAAUGGCCGGUACAAAGGGCUGCCAACCCGCAAGGGGGAGCAAAUCCCAUCAAAGCCGGUCUCAGUUCGGAUAGCAGGCUGAAACUCGCCUGCUUGAAGCUGGAAUCGCUAGUAACGGUAAGUCAGCACAUUACCGUGAAUACGUUCCCGGGUCU
rnacentral:rRNA from 1 species